AAUCUCGUAGCUUAGUGGUCAGAGCAUUGGCGCGUAAAGUCAAAGAGCACGGGUUCGAUUCCCGCCGGGGGUG
rnacentral:tRNA from 1 species